UCGAGGAUCUUCGGCAAUGGGCGCAAGCCUGACCGAGCGACGCCGCGUGUGCGAUGAAGGCCUUCGGGUUGUAAAGCACUGUCGAGGGGGAGAAACGCUGGGUAACCAGCUUGAUCUAUCCCUGGAGGAAGCACGGGCUAAGUUCGUGCCAGCAGCCGCGGUAAGACGAACCGUGCGAACGUUGUUCGGAUUCACUGGGCUUAAAGGGCGCGUAGGCGGCGGCUCAAGUCGGGGGUGAAAUCCUUCCGCUUAACGGGAGAAUUGCUUUCGAUACUGGGUCGCUGGAGGGAGAUAGGGGUGCGCGGAACUUCCGGUGGAGCGGUGAAAUGCGUAGAUAUCGGAAGGAACGCCGGUGGCGAAAGCGGCGCACUGGAUCUCUUCUGACGCUGAGGCGCGAAAGCCAGGGGAGCAAACGG
rnacentral:rRNA from 1 species